rnacentral:sRNA from 1 species
AUUAAUUCGUGCAGUUCGUAAUUUUUCUUAGGUCACUGUAGGUUUCGACCAAUCGGUAAACGGGGUGUGUAGAUUUCAGUCCUGUCUGUUGCUAUAGAGCUAUGAAUUAACUAUAAUUUCCCGUAAGAAAUAGAGGGAGUCAUGAUCGGUAGAUGAAAAUAUAUGUAAAUAAUGAUGACCGAUAAAAAAUAAAGGAAUAUUGAAACAUAAAGGGACAGAAACGGGACCUGAUGCAGAAUAUAGGCCUUUUUUCUUAGAUAAGAACAGAUACUAUGCUUAUUGCACGCAGAUAGCUGUAGAAGUUGAUUGUUACUUAUGCUUUAAUUGACUACACGUAAUUGUAUAAAAUGCAUUCAUUAUGUAUGUCAGUCAUUGUUUGAUUCAUUAAUGGAAUAUGCAUGAGGUUUUAUAAAGCAUUAUUCCGAAGCUUGUAUUAAAUAUGAAAAA